rnacentral:rRNA from 1 species
AUAAAAUUCUAUUAUACUAAAGAGACUUAGUAAAGGUAAAGGUAGCCCUCUAUAUAAAAACUAACGUUAAAGGAUAAAGGUAUAAAGCAUAAAUAAGAUUAAAUACCUAAGUAAUCUUUAUAGUAAAUAAUAAAUGUUAUAGGUUAAAUUAAGCUUUAAUAAAUUAAUUUAUUAGUAUAAACUAACUAUUAAAUAAUAUUUAAUUUAUAAAUAAAAGUGUAAGCAUUUCACCUUAAGAGUAAUAUAGUAACGUAAAAACUAAAAUUACUAGACCGUUUUUAAUACUAGUAGUAAAGUAUGUUUGUUUAAUUCGAUGAUCCACGAAAAACCUUACCACAAUUUGAAUAUUUUACAGGAGUUGCACGGCUGUUUUCAGUUAAUGUUGUGAAACUGUGGUUUCCAUGAAAUUAACGCAAUCCCUGGCUUUAUUUUUUUUUAUUACGAUAAAGCAUUUGAUCCAGGAUUUGGAAAGAAAAAGGGGACAAAGACAAGUCAUCAUGGCCUUGAUAUUGUGGGCUAUAGACGUGCCACAUAUUCCUAGACAAAGAGAUGCAAAAAUGUGAAUUUAAGCUAAUCUCUAAAAAUAGGAUAUAAAUUUUAAGGAUUAUAGUCUGAAACUCGACUAUAUGAAUAAGUAAUUACUAGUAAUCGUGAAUCACCAUGUCACGGGGAAUUUACCUUGGAUUGGUACUAACCACUCGUCACAUGCUGAAAAGAGCAUGCGCAAUAAGUUUGCUUUCUUGAUGAUCAGUAAAAAGAAUAAGCAGGUUCUAUAUUCUAUUAUUAAG